rnacentral:rRNA from 1 species
AACGCUAGCGACAGGCUUAACACAUGCAAGUCGAGGGGUAACAGGGUAGCAAUACCGCUGACGACCGGCGCACGGGUGAGUAACGCGUAUGCAACCUGCCUAUAACUGGGGAAUAGCUCCCUGAAAGGGGAAUUAACACCGCAUAACACUAUUGAUUCGCAUGGAUUGGUAGUUAAAUGUAGCGAUACAGGUUAUAGAUGGGCAUGCGUGACAUUAGCUAGUUGGUGAGGUAACGGCUCACCAAGGCUACGAUGUCUAGGGGUUCUGAGAGGAAGGUCCCCCACACUGGUACUGAGACACGGACCAGACUCCUACGGGAGGCAGCAGUGAGGAAUAUUGGUCAAUGGGCGCAAGCCUGAACCAGCCAUGUCGCGUGCAGGAAGACUGCCCUAUGGGUUGUAAACUGCUUUUAUAGUAGAAGAAACACAUCUACGUGUAGAUGUCUGCCAGUAUACUAUGAAUAAGCAUCGGCUAACUCCGUG